AAGUCGUAACAAGGUUUCCUUCCCGGCACCUGCCGAAGCCUUAGCCGCCUGAACGGCGGGGCCCGCGACUCAAAACAGAGGGCCCCCAAGAGCUAGCCCGUCCGGGCGACAUCACUAAAUUGCGGGGACGCUCGCCAAACUCUCGCACCCUCCGGUCCAGCGAUGGCACCGGGGCGCCCGCCCCCGCGGGCGCGACGGUCGCAGCGCCAGUUUGAGCCACCCGCAGCCAACCCCUCCGCGGGAGGGGGAUGUUCACAGACUAGAUGGUGAUGGGCGCGGUUGCGUCUAAGAUAUAGUCGGCCGCCGGCCUGCGCCGGCGAUUCUGAAGCGUUCCGUAGGUGAACCUGCGGAAGGAUCAUUAUCGAGUACCGAGGCCCCCGCGCCUCUGCUCCCACCCUGUGUUGACCUGCAACGUUGCUUUGGCGGGCCGGCGGGUACACCCGCCGCCGGGCCGCGCCUGGAGAGCGCCCGCCAGAGGACCACGCGAAACUCUUUGCAAACUUUGAGCGUCUGAGCACUUUUGAGAAUUGACCAAAACUUUCAACAACGGAUCUCUUGGUUCUGGCAUCGAUGAAGAACGCAGCGAAAUGCGAUAAGUAAUGUGAAUUGCAGAAUUCAGUGAAUCAUCGAAUCUUUGAACGCACAUUGCGCCCCUCGGCACUCCGGGGGGCAUGCCUGUCCGAGCGUCAUUGAAGACUAUCAAGCCCGGCUUGGUCUUGGGCGCGGUCCUGGGACCCGCCCGCAACCCGUCGGCGGUGCCGGUUCGGCCCUGAGCGUAGCAGAGAUACUCGCUCCGGGGCCGCGGCGGCGCCCGCCAGCAAGUUUUUACCUACGGUUUGACCUCGGAUCAGGUAGGGAUACCCGCUGAACUUAAGCAUAUCAAUAAGCGGAGGAAAAGAAACCAACAGGGAUUGCCUCAGUAACGGCGAGUGAAGCGGCAACAGCUCAAAUUUGAAAUCUGGCUCCCGCCCGAGUUGUAAUUUGCAGAGGAUGCUUCGGUGCAGUCCCCGGCCCAAGUCCCUUGGAACAGGGCGCCGCAGAGGGUGAGAGCCCCCCACGCGGCCGGGUGCCUGCUCCGGUGAAGCUCCUUCGACGAGUCGAGUUGUUUGGGAAUGCAGCUCUAACUGGGAGGUAAAUUUCUCCUAAGGCUAAAUACCGGCCAGAGACCGAUAGCGCACAAGUAGAGUGAUCGAAAGAUGAAAAGCACUUUGAAAAGAGAGUUAAAAAGUACGUGAAAUUGUUGAAAGGGAAGCGUUUGCGGCCAGACUUGGCGGCGGUUGCUCAGCCGGUCAUUGCCCGGUGCACUCUUCCGCCGACAGGCCAGCGUCGGUUCGGGCGGUCGGAUAAAGGCGUCGGGAACGUGGCUCUUCGGAGUGUUAUAGCCCUUCGCACAAUGCGGCCCGCCCGGACCGAGGUACGCGUCUUCACGGACGCGGCGUAAUGGCCGCCAACGGCC
rnacentral:rRNA from 1 species